UACGUAGGGGGCUAGCGUUGUCCGGAAUCACUGGGCGUAAAGCGCACGUAGGCGGAUCUUUAAGUCAGGGGUGAAAUCCCAAGGCUCAACCUUGGAACUGCCUUUGAUACUGGGGAUCUCGAGUCCGGAAGAGGUUGGUGGAACUGCGAGUGUAGAGGUGAAAUUCGUAGAUAUUCGCAAGAACACCAGUGGCGAAGGCGGCUCACUGGCCCGGAUACUGACGCUGAGGUGCGAAAGCGUGGGGAGCAAACAGG
rnacentral:rRNA from 1 species